rnacentral:rRNA from 1 species
UACGGAGGGUGCAAGCGUUAUCCGGAUUCACUGGGUUUAAAGGGUGCGUAGGUGGCUUUGUAAGUCAGUGGUGAAAGCCCGGAGCUUAACUCCGGAACUGCCAUUGAUACUGCUUAGCUUGAAUCAACUUGAGGUGGAUGGAAUAUUACAUGUAGCGGUGAAAUGCUUAGAUAUGUAAUAGAACACCGAUUGCGAAGGCAGUUCACUAAGGUUGUAUUGACACUGAGGCACGAAAGCGUGGGGAUCAAACAGG